rnacentral:rRNA from 1 species
UGGGGAAUAUUGGGCAAUGGGCGAAAGCCUGACCCAGCAACGCCGCGUGAAGUAUGAAGGCCUUCGGGUUGUAAACUUCUUUGAUCAGGGAAGAAACAAAUGACGGUACCUGAAAAACAAGCCACGGCUAACUACGUGCCAGCAGCCGCGGUAAUACGUAGGUGGCGAGCGUUAUCCGGAUUUACUGGGUGUAAAGGGCGUGCAGGCGGGCUGAUAAGUCAGAUGUGAAAUCCCCGAGCUUAACUCGGGAGCUGCAUCUGAUACUGUUGGUCUUGAGUGCUGGAGAGGAUAGUGGAAUUCCUAGUGUAGCGGUAAAAUGCGCAGAUAUUAGGAGGAACACCAGUGGCGAAGGCGGCUAUCUGGUCAGUAACUGACGCUGAGGCGCGAAAGCGUGGGUAGCAAACAGG